rnacentral:lncRNA from 1 species
AACGGGAAUUGGGAAGGGCCUCAUCAAAGAUAAAAAUCAAAGCACCCUGCGAUGGCGCCGCAGAGUUUCGGCGGUGUUUUUCGGCCAAUUGGCUGGUUCUUUCACUCCGGUUUGUCCAUGGGUGGGUUUGGAAUCAAAUUUUGAGCAAAUGGUAGAAUUUUUAUCUCGUUUGGCGGCCAAAAAUUGCUCCGUUGUUGCGACGGCGGGUGGCGGCGGUCGACUCCCCGGCAGCUGGGCUGUCUUCUCUAGGGAGGGGCUCUGGCAGGUAGGGUUAGGGUUUUGGUGCAUAUGGGGUUAUUUAUACACAUCUGCUUUUGAUCUGGGCCGUCCAUCGCUUUUAAUCUGAACUGUCCGAUCGCGAUUAAAUAGGGAGUGAAUCUAGACCGUUCAUCGCGAUUCAAUCUGGACCGUUCGUGCGCGAUUCAAUCUGGACCGUCUGUGCGCGAUGUAAUCUGGGUCGUCCAUGCGCGUUUUUGA